rnacentral:rRNA from 1 species
CCUACGGGAGGCUGCAGUGAGGAAUAUUGGUCAAUGGGCGCGAGCCUGAACCAGCCAAGUCGCGUGAGGGAAGACGGCCCUCCGGGUUGUAAACCUCUUUUGCCGGGGAGCAACGGGCGCCACGUGUGGCGCCACUGAGAGUACCCGGAGAAAAAGCAUCGGCUAACUCCGUGCCAGCAGCCGCGGUACUACGGGGGAUGCGAGCGUUCUCCGGAUUUCUUGGGUUUAAAGGGUGCGUAGGCGGAGCGUUAAGUCAGUGGUCAAAUUGAGGGGCGCAACCCCGUACCGCCAUUGAAACUGGCGCUCUUGAGUGGAAGAGAAGGAUGCGGAAUGCGUGGUGUAGCGGUGAAAUGCAUAGAUAGCACGCAGAACCCCGAUGGCGAAGGCAGCAUGCCGGCUUCCGACUGACGCUGAAGCACGAAAGCGUGGGGAUCGAACAGGAGUAGAGACCCGUGUAGUC